GAACGCACCUUGCGCCCUUUGGCUAUUCUGAAGGGCAUGCCUGUUUGUGUAUCAUGAACACCUCAACUCUCAUGGUUUGCCAUGAUGAGCUUGGACUUUGGGGGUCUUGCUGGCCUAUGGUCGGCUCCUCUCAAAUGAAUCAGCUUGCCAGUGUUUGGUGGCAUCACAGGUGUGAUAACUAUCUACGCUUGUGGUUUUCCACCAGGUAACCUUCAGUGAUGGAGGUUCGCUGGGGCUCACAAAUGUCUCUCCUCAGUGAGGACAGCUUUUUAAUGUUUGAUCUCAAAUCAGGUAGGACUACCCGCUGAACUUAAG
rnacentral:misc_RNA from 1 species